ACGAACGCUGGCGGCGUGCUUAACACAUGCAAGUCGAACGGAAAGGCCCUGCUUUUGUGGGGUGCUCGAGUGGCGAACGGGUGAGUAACACGUGAGUAACCUGCCCUUGACUUUGGGAUAACUUCAGGAAACUGGGGCUAAUACCGGAUAGGAGCUCCUGCUGCAUGGUGGGGGUUGGAAAGUUUCGGCGGUUGGGGAUGGACUCGCGGCUUAUCAGCUUGUUGGUGGGGUAGUGGCUUACCAAGGCUUUGACGGGUAGCCGGCCUGAGAGGGUGACCGGCCACAUUGGGACUGAGAUACGGCCCAGACUCCUACGGGAGGAAGAAGUGGGGAAUAUUGCACAAUGGGCGGAAGCCUGAUGCAGCAACGCCGCGUGCGGGAUGACGGCCUUCGGGUUGUAAACCGCUUUCGCCUGUGACGAAGCGUGAGUGACGGUAAUGGGUAAAGAAGCACCGGCUAACUACGUG
rnacentral:rRNA from 1 species